rnacentral:rRNA from 1 species
UACGGAGGGUGCGAGCGUUGUCCGGAAUCACUGGGCGGAAAGGGCGCGUAGGCGGCCUGAUAAGUAGGGGGUGAAAUCCUGCGGCUUAACCGCAGGGCUGCCUUCUAAACUGUCAGGCUUGAGCACAGUAGAGGCAGGUGGAAUUCCCGGUGUAGCGGUGGAAUGCGUAGAGAUCGGGAAGAACAUCAGUGGCGAAGGCGGCCUGCUGGGCUGUUGCUGACGCUGAGGCGCGACAGCGUGGGGAGCAAACAGG